ACUCAGCCUCUUCCCUGUGCCCUGGAAGCCCAAAUCCAUCCCUUCGACUUCCAGAAAAGCUUUUCCAGGGCCAGCACAAUAGGCCUCAAAACAUUGAGGUUCUUCAGCAGUCGCAUGCUGGGAUGAGAACCCACAGAGAGCAGCCCUGAACCUAACCCUCAGCCUGGAACCAAGCACUACAGAGGAUGAUCUGCAGCUUGUAACUUAACUACAGAAAGCAUGAAGCUUAGCGGUUCGGUUAGC